rnacentral:rRNA from 1 species
GAUGAACGCUGGCGGCGUGCCUAAUACAUACAAGUCGAGCGAACGGACGAGAAGCUUGCUUCUCUGAUGUUAGCGGCGGACGGGUGAGUAACACGUGGAUAACCUACCUAUAAGACUGGGAUAACUUCGGGAAACCGGAGCUAAUACCGGAUAAUAUUUUGAACCGCAUGGUUCAAAAGUGAAAGACGGUCUUGCUGUCACUUAUAGAUGGAUCCGCGCUGCAUUAGCUAGUUGGUAAGGUAACGGCUUACCAAGGCAACGAUGCAUAGCCGACCUGAGAGGGUGAUCGGCCACACUGGAACUGAGGCACGGUCCAGACUCCUACGGGAGGCAGCAGUAGGGAAUCUUCCGCAAUGGGCGAAAGCCUGACGGAGCAACGCCGCGUGAGUGAUGAAGGUCUUCGGAUCGUAAAACUCUGUUAUUAGGGAAGAACAUAUGUGUAAGUAACUGUGCACAUCUUGACGGUACCUAAUCAGAAAGCCACGGCUAACUACGUG